UUAAGCGACUAAGCGUACACGGUGGAUGCCCUGGCAGUCAGAGGCGAUGAAGGRCGUGCUAAUCUGCGAUAAGCGCCGGUAAGGUGAUAUGAACCGUUAUAACCGGCGAUWYCCGAAUGGGGAAACCCAGUGUGACUCGUCACACUAUCAUUAACUGAAUCCAUAGGUUAAUGAGGCGAACCGGGGGAACUGAAACAUCUAAGUACCCCGAGGAAAAGAAAUCAACCGAGAUUCCCCCAGUAGCGGCGAGCGAACGGGGAGGAGCCCAGAGCCUGAAUCAGCAUGUGUGUUAGUGGAAGCGUCUGGAAAGGCGCGCGAUACAGGGUGACAGCCCCGUACACAAAARYGCAYRUGCUGUGAGCUCGAUGAGUAGGGCGGGACACGUGGUAUCCUGUCUGAAUAUGGGGGGACCAUCCUCCAAGGCUAAAUACUCCUGACUGACCGAUAGUGAACCAGUACCGUGAGGGAAAGGCGAAAAGAACCCCGGCGAGGGGAGUGAAAAAGAACCUGAAACCGUGUACGUACAAGCAGUGGGAGCACAGGUUUACCUGUGUGACUGCGUACCUUUUGUAUAAUGGGUCAGCGACUUAUAUUCUGUAGCAAGGUUAACCGMAUAGGGGAGCCGGAGGGAAACCGAGUCUUAAYYGGGCGUUAAGUUGCAGGGUAUAGACCCGAAACCCGGUGAUCUAGCCAUGGGCAGGUUGAAGGUUGGGUAACACUAACUGGAGGACCGAACCGACUAAUGUUGAAAAAUUAGCGGAUGACCUGUGGCUGGGGGUGAAAGGCCAAUCAAACCGGGAGAUAGCUGGUUCUCCCCGAAAGCUAUUUAGGUAGCGCCUCGUGAAUUCAUCUCCGGGGGUAGAGCACUGUUUCGGCUAGGGGGCCAUCCCGGCUUACCAACCCGAUGCAAACUGCGAAUACCGGAGAAUGUUAUCACGGGAGACACACGGCGGGUGCUAACGUCCGUCGUGAAGAGGGAAACAACCCAGACCGCCAGCUAAGGUCCCAAAGUCAUGGUUAAGUGGGAAACGAUGUGGGAAGGCCCAGACAGCCAGGAUGUUGGCUUAGAAGCAGCCAUCAUUUAAAGAAAGCGUAAUAGCUCACUGGUCGAGUCGGCCUGCGCGGAAGAUGUAACGGGGCUAAACCAUGCACCGAAGCUGCGGCAGCGAACGUAUCACUUAAAGCGAUUCAGCGGGUUACGAUUGACGGAGCGAAGCGACGUCAAAGCGUAUACAAAGUCGAGUCGGUUUAAGGAUACGUUCGUUGGGUAGGGGAGCGUUCUGUAAGCCUGYGAAGGUGGCCUGUGARGGUUGCUGGAGGUAUCAGAAGUGCGAAUGCUGACAUAAGUAACGAUAAAGCGGGUGAAAAGCCCGCUCGCCGGAAGACCAAGGGUUCCUGUCCAACGUUAAUCGGGGCAGGGUGAGUCGACCCCUAAGGCGAGGCCGAAAGGCGUAGUCGAUGGGAAACGGGUUAAUAUUCCCGUACUUGGUGUUACUGCGAAGGGGGGACGGAGAAGGCUAUGUUGGCCGGGCGACGGUUGUCCCGGUUUAAGCGUGUAGGUGUGUGUUCCAGGUAAAUCCGGUUCACUUUAACACUGAGGCGUGAYGACGAGGCACUACGGUGCUGAAGCAACAAAUGCCCUGCUUCCAGGAAAAGCCUCUAAGCAUCAGGUAACAUCAAAUCGUACCCCAAACCGACACAGGUGGUCAGGUAGAGAAUACCAAGGCGCUUGAGAGAACUCGGGUGAAGGAACUAGGCAAAAUGGUGCCGUAACUUCGGGAGAAGGCACGCUGACACGUAGGUGAAGUGAUUUACUCAUGGAGCUGAAGUCAGUCGAAGAUACCAGCUGGCUGCAACUGUUUAUUAAAAACACAGCACUGUGCAAACACGAAAGUGGACGUAUACGGUGUGACGCCUGCCCGGUGCCGGAAGGUUAAUUGAUGGGGUCAGCGCAAGCGAAGCUCCUGAUCGAAGCCCCGGUAAACGGCGGCCGUAACUAUAACGGUCCUAAGGUAGCGAAAUUCCUUGUCGGGUAAGUUCCGACCUGCACGAAUGGCGUAAUGAUGGCCAGGCUGUCUCCACCCGAGACUCAGUGAAAUUGAACUCGCUGUGAAGAUGCAGUGUACCCGCGGCAAGACGGAAAGACCCCGUGAACCUUUACUAUAGCUUGACACUGAACAUUGAGCCUUGAUGUGUAGGAUAGGUGGGAGGCUUUGAAGUGUGGACGCCAGUCUGCAUGGAGCCGACCUUGAAAUACCACCCUUUAAUGUUUGAUGUUCUAACGUGGACCCGURAUCCGGGUUGCGGACAGUGUCUGGUGGGUAGUUUGACUGGGGCGGUCUCCUCCUAAAGAGUAACGGAGGAGCACGAAGGUUGGCUAAUCCUGGUCGGACAUCAGGAGGUUAGUGCAAUGGCAUAAGCCAGCUUGACUGCGAGCGUGACGGCGCGAGCAGGUGCGAAAGCAGGUCAUAGUGAUCCGGUGGUUCUGAAUGGAAGGGCCAUCGCUCAACGGAUAAAAGGUACUCCGGGGAUAACAGGCUGAUACCGCCCAAGAGUUCAUAUCGACGGCGGUGUUUGGCACCUCGAUGUCGGCUCAUCACAUCCUGGGGCUGAAGUAGGUCCCAAGGGUAUGGCUGUUCGCCAUUUAAAGUGGUACGCGAGCUGGGUUUAGAACGUCGUGAGACAGUUCGGUCCCUAUCUGCCGUGGGCGCUGGAGAACUGAGGGGGGCUGCUCCUAGUACGAGAGGACCGGAGUGGACGCAUCACUGGUGUUCGGGUUGUCAUGCCAAUGGCACUGCCCGGUAGCUAAAUGCGGAAGAGAURAGUUCUCCCUGAGACUUAGAGUCUCCUGAAGGAACGUUGAAGACGACGACGUUGAUAGGCCGGGUGUGUAAGCGCAGCGAUGCGUUGAGCUAACCGGUACUAAUGAACCGUGAGGCUUAACCU
rnacentral:rRNA from 1 species